CACCAGUGUAACAUGAUUAUGCGCAUGUUAAGUUAAGUUUAUUUUACGUUCGUGCUACCCGUCAGUGGUAUGGUUCCAAUAUUAUUUGUUUUAUUUCUCUUAAUAUACUUCUUAUUGUAUGCUGAACGAGUUUACACCAACUAUGUAUGUAUUUGUCCGUAAAUUGUGUAUUUGAUAUUUGAUGUGAUAAAAAUACUGUAUAAGUAGACUACAAUGGAUUUGUUAAAGAGUAUAGUUUAUGCGGAGUGGCACACGGUUGUUGUGGAGGCCCGCGCGGCCUGAUAUAGACACUGACAGACAGGAGAGUGAGACAAGUGGAGACGGUUUGCUAGCUACGGGUCUCCCUCGUAGGACUCGGGAAUAAGGUCGCCCCUCCUGUUCUAUAGACUGUAAGUGUUAUAACCUUUACAUGAUUAUUGUUCAGGGUUAUCUUCAUAGUAGUUACAAUUUGCUUCAUGUGCUCAACAUUAUUUCUGUACCACUUGUUAUCAAUCAUGGGUUAUUAGUGCCUAUGAUUGUGUUUAUUAAAUUAUACUAAUCAUAUGAUCAGGGAAUGAGAUAUUGACAUGUCUGUGGUUUGUAGGGUUAUGAAAGUGAGACGUCAGUGGAUUACCUAUCAAUUAUCAAAGCACCAGUGACGUAUCCGGCUGUUGGGGAUUCCACGCCAUAGUAUUUUCAACACAACUGACGCUGGCAAUGUUGUGAGUGUUAUGGUUAUUGUGUAUUUGUGUGAUUUUUGUCAUGCUAUGAUUUACAGUGAUAUGUAUGAGGAUUUUCUGAGCUUUAUAAUGAUGUGAGUCACACAGGGUAUUUAUCCAUUGUUUGGGAGGUUUAUCAUAUUGUGAACUGCAGAGAUAUUUUUGUGAUUUCUGUACUUAUUAUACUAUGAGGUACAUGGGAACUAUUCAAGGUCUGAUCAUGUUAUGUAGUGAUUAUUUUUGUAUUUUUAGUGUUUCUACGCUCAUAUGAUUUUACCAUGAUUUGGUAUCGGGCUGAUUUAUCCUGGACCCACAGGUUGGAACGCUACAAUAAAUGUUGCAACACAUUGCUCGCCUGUGGAUUGCCCUAACGCUACAUUCCAACAACACCCACAACCAUGCCCAAGACGGAGGACCUUGAGCGCCGACGGAGACUACGAGGGACAGCCCGUGGAAAGCUAACUAGGAAGUGUAACCUACUCUCUGAGCAAGUGAAGCAGGGUAAGCCAUCUAGCAUUAUUGAGGAUUAUUAUGAGGAAGUAAAGGACGCUUUUCGGGAACUCGAGAGACGACACGAGGAUGUGAUGGACGCAUUAUGUGAGAGUGAUCAAGAGGAGGAGGACUUUAAUGGAAAACUUAAGAAUGAAGAACAGUAUAUAGUUCAGGCAGAAUUGUUGAAGACAGGUGCUUGUGAGACUUUAUUACAGCUAUGUAAAAAGGAAAAGGAGACAGCCUUAACAGAUAGUGCAACUAAGGUUAAGGUGAAGCCAAUAGAACCUCCUAAAUUUGAAGGUGACAUACGCCAAUACCAGACAUUUCGCAGCAACUAUGAUAAAAUAAUGACUGUCAAUUAUGGGGAAAAUGCCUUUGCCUUAAAACAGUGCUUAUCAGGUGAAGCGCUAAGUGUAGUACAUGGAGUAGAUGAUGAUUACAAGGAAAUGUUCCGUCGUCUUGACCAAAGGUAUGCUGAUCCAGUUAGAUUGACAGAUACUGUUAUCAACCAACUGCAAGAAUUAAAGCCAAUUGCUGAAGGCAAUACUGGUAAAUUUGUAGAAACCGUGGAAGUCAUAGAAAAGUGCUGGACUGACAUGAGUAAAAAUAAUUUAGAAGUACAGAUGUCCACUGUAAUUGUGAUAAGCUUAAUUGAGAAAAUACUUCCACCCCAACAAAAAAGAGAGUGGACUAAGAUCUACCAAAAUCUGUCAAAUAAAGUAAAUGCUUUUCCUGAGUUGUUAAAGUAUUUGAAGGAAGAAAAGAAUGUCCUUGAUUAUAUAGACAAAGAUGUUCGUAAGAGGUCACAUAAUUCCAAGGCUACUGUUCAUAGUGUAGAGGUAAAAGAGGAUGACAGUCAAAUUAUGAGAACAUUGCAAAAGUUGCAACUUCAACAAGCAGAACAUCAGGCUAACAUGGAAAGUAUAAUGCAGAAGUUCACUCAAACACUAUCUAGUGGGGGUUCACAGGUUGGACGUCAUAGACAAAACUACGGAAACCCCAACUUUUGUUGGUAUCACAAUUCUGAUUCGCACACUAUCAGUCGCUGUAACACAUUUCAUAAUUUGGAACCCUCAAACAAGAUGGAGGUUUUACGGAAGAACCAUGUUUGUUUUCACUGUUUGGCAAUGGGACACAGUUCUAAGGAUUGUCAGGAAAAACGCAGUUGCUACAUGAAGUUAGGAAAUGGUAAUGUUUGUGGUAAGCCACAUCAUCCGAGACUUCACUAUUUGCUUUAUCAAAAUGAUAUUAAUAUUCACACCAACAAGUCAGAUGGUUGUACUUUGCUGAUGAUUGGUCAAGUUAACUGUAAAGAUGACUCAUUAGUAACUCUUUUUGAUCCCGGCAGUACAAGUAGCUUGGUGACUCAUCGCAAAGCACGGGACUUAGGAUUAUGUGGCACACCAUAUAACAUCACUAUGACAACAGUUGGAAAUGUAAGUGAUACUGUAUUCACUAAAAUGUAUAAAAUGCCUCUUGUAGAUGAGACAGGUAAACAAUAUUUAAUACAAUGUGUAGGAAUGGAUGAAAUCACUUCAGAAGUUAAUCCAGUCCCUAUGGACAUAAUUCUUUCUCAGUUAGGAGUUUCUCAGUCAAUGCAUAUUUUCCGUCCUCAUGGGAGAGUUGAUCUUUUGAUUGGUGCUGACAGUUGUGACAUCAUUCCUACAACUGUUAAAACUGUAGGGAAAUUGCAACUCAUGAAAGGUCCCUUCGGCUAUUGUGUCAGAGGAUCGCACCCAGAACUCAAAAAUGAAUAUACAGAGCACUAUGUGGCUCAAGUAAACCACAUGUCCUUAACAUCUAACACUUUUGAAAUUCAAGGGGAGAUCUGUAGAACUUUUAAGGAGGAUAUAGAUAAUUUGUUUGCAAUGGAUCACCUAGGCACAAAUUGUAGACCCAAAUGUACCAAUUGCAUUAACUGUAAAGACUGCAAUAGAGAGACGCACAUAACUGUAAAGGAAGAAGAAGAAAUGAAAUUGAUUCUCAGUGGACUUGAAUAUCAGGAGAAAGAGAAGACCUGGACUGUACAUUACCCUUGGAUUAAAGAUCCACAUCAUUUGCCGAAUAAUUUUGGGGUAGCACUAAUGAAACUUAAAGGUACGGAAAAGCGACUGAAGAAGUUGGGCAGUAGGUCAACAGAAAAUUACAAGGUACAAAUUGAUGACAUGUUAAAGAGAGGUGUUGCUAGAAAACUAAAUAGGGAGGAGUUAAAUUGGUACAAAGGUCCAGUGCACUAUUUGUCUCAUCAUGAGGUGUUGAAACAAAGUUCAGCUUCCACCCCUACUCGCAUUGUAUUUAAUGCUUCUGCCUCAUAUAAUGGUCAUGUGCUGAAUAAUUAUUGGGCUAAGGGUCCCAAUGUAAUGAACAGUCUUUUUGGUCUUUUACUUAGAUUCAGAGAAGGUUCCAUAGCAUUUGUUGGAGAUAUAGCCAAGAUGUUUAAUAGCAUCAGGUUAUCUGAAUUUGACAGUCACGUACACAGGUUUCUUUGGCGAGACUUUGAGGAUCGGGCCCCAGACCACUAUGCCCUCACAGCAGUUCCCUUUGGAGACAUUUGUAGUCCGGCUAUUGCUAUACUUGCUAUGAGACAAACAGCUGAGAAAUGCAAGGAGGAAUUCCCUGAAGCAGCCAACGUAAUUGUGCAAGAUAGUUACAUGGAUGAUAUCAUACAUAGCAUGAAUGAUACAGAGAAGGCUAGUCAGAUCAUAAAGGAUGUUGAGCUUAUUCUGAACCGUGGAAACUUUCACAUGAAGGAGUGGAUCAUAAGUGGGAAGACCCAAGUUGGGAAUGAUGUGGACUUGUCAGGUAUACCAGGAGAAAAGGUUCUGGGAUUAGUAUGGAACCCUGUAGAAGAUGAAAUAAGUUUCAAGAUGAAAAUGAAAAGUACGUGUAAACAGACUUGCAGUGUUGAAGUUAAGAGUAAUUCCGAUGAACCACAAAAUCCACUAACUAAAAGAAAGGCUCUUAGUUACAUAUCAACAAUAUUUGAUCCCAUGGGGUUUGUUACACCAGAGAUAAAGUCCAUCAUUAACACAGCUGAAGUAAACAACUGGCAUAUUAAUGACUGCAAUAUGUUUGACAUAGACAGAUUUAAUUCAUACCGCAAAAUUAUAGGAGUCACUGCAAGAGUUUUGAAUGCCCUUCAUGCGCGUUCUUUCAAGGGAAUCCUGGCAUCACCAACAGUAGAUCAACUUAAACAAGCAGAAAUAUUAUGGAUCAAAAGAGCCCAGAUUUCUUUAACAGACAACUGGGAAAAAAGGUUCAAGCGGUUAGGUCCAUUUUGUAAGGAUGGAAUAAUAUAUGUAGGAUCAAGAAUUGCUGCAUGGCUGAAGAAUAAUUACAAUAAUGAAGCUUUCAUUCUACUUCCCACUAAACAUAGACUCACAGAGGUGUGCAUUAAGGAUAUUCAUGAUAAAGACCAUGGAGGGAUUGAAUCUACUCUAUGUAAACUACAGGCUAAAUUUUGGAUUCCUCAAGCUAGAAAGUUAAUCAAAUCAGUUAAAUCUCGCUGCGUGACAUGCAGACGUUUAGAAAAACAAGUGAUUGGACAAAGCAUGGGACCAGUACCAGAAGAAAGGUUGAAACCUUCACCUCCCUUUUACCAUUCUGCUCUUGAUCUAUUUGGCCCAUUAAUGAUUAAGGAUACAGUCAAAGGAAGAUGUAAAAAAAAGGUGUAUGGUGUUGUAGUAAAUUGUCUCAGCACAAGAGCAUCAUAUGUUGACUUAGUAGAAGGGUAUGAUACUGACAGUCUCAUCACUACUCUUCGUAGGUUUACAGCCAUCAGAGGCUUCCCUCACUCAAUGUAUUCCGACCAUGGUUCACAACUCAAAUUGGCAAGUAAAGAAGUUUGUUUCUUGACUCAAGACCAGGAAAAAUUAUCACAAUUUAGCCGAGAAGGCGGUAUGGAGUGGAAAUUUACAAAAUCUGCUGAUGCUCCAUGGGAGAAUGGGUGCUCAGAAGCUAUGGUAAAAUUGGUGAAGAGAGUUAUGACCAGAGUAAUAGGUGACAGUACAUUGACAUUUGGUGAAUUACAAUCAGCAAUGUUUGAGAUUGCAAAUAUGUUGAACGAGAGACCAAUAGGUAUGAAAAAUGGUUCAGACUGUACUAAGGGAUCUUAUCUUUGUCCAAAUGAUCUAAUACUAGGGCGUGCAAGUGUACACACACCAGAAGGUGUAUUUGACAGCAGUACAAACACAAGGACUCGCCAAAGGUUCAUCAAUGCAAUUGUAAAAUCCUUCUGGAAGAAAUGGAUGAUGCAUUAUUUUUCAACAUUAAUUGUACAACAAAAAUGGCAUUGUGAGAAAAGAAAUCUCCGAGUGGGAGAUAUUGUUUUGGUGCAGGAUAGUAAUAAUUUGAAAGGGCAUUGGAAACUUGCUGAAGUGUGUCAAGUUUUACCGAGUUCUGAUGGUAAGGUUAGAGAUGUACAAAUUAGAUACAAGUUACAAAGCGGAAAUAGCAUGUAUAAGGGUCAUCAAGAUAUAAAGGUUAACAGAUCUGUCCACAAACUUGUGUUGAUACUUCCGAUCGAAGAACAAUAAUUUUAAUUCUUUUUCUUGGGGUGGGGAGUGUAACAUGAUUAUGCGCAUGUUAAGUUAAGUUUAUUUUACGUUCGUGCUACCCGUCAGUGGUAUGGUUCCAAUAUUAUUUGUUUUAUUUCUCUUAAUAUACUUCUUAUUGUAUGCUGAACGAGUUUACACCAACUAUGUAUGUAUUUGUCCGUAAAUUGUGUAUUUGAUAUUUGAUGUGAUAAAAAUACUGUAUAAGUAGACUACAAUGGAUUUGUUAAAGAGUAUAGUUUAUGCGGAGUGGCACACGGUUGUUGUGGAGGCCCGCGCGGCCUGAUAUAGACACUGACAGACAGGAGAGUGAGACAAGUGGAGACGGUUUGCUAGCUACGGGUCUCCCUCGUAGGACUCGGGAAUAAGGUCGCCCCUCCUGUUCUAUAGACUGGUUAUGAAAGUGAGACGUCAGUGGAUUACCUAUCAAUUAUCAAAGCACCAGUGACGUAUCCGGCUGUUGGGGAUUCCACGCCAUAGUAUUUUCAACACAACUGACGCUGGCAAUGUUGUGAGUGUUAUGGUUAUUGUGUAUUUGUGUGAUUUUUGUCAUGCUAUGAUUUACAGUGAUAUGUAUGAGGAUUUUCUGAGCUUUAUAAUGAUGUGAGUCACACAGGGUAUUUAUCCAUUGUUUGGGAGGUUUAUCAUAUUGUGAACUGCAGAGAUAUUUUUGUGAUUUCUGUACUUAUUAUACUAUGAGGUACAUGGGAACUAUUCAAGGUCUGAUCAUGUUAUGUAGUGAUUAUUUUUGUAUUUUUAGUGUUUCUACGCUCAUAUGAUUUUACCAUGAUUUGGUAUCGGGCUGAUUUAUCCUGGACCCACAGGUUGGAACGCUACAAUAAAUGUUGCAACACA